UACAGAGGUGGCAAGCGUUGUUCGGAAUUACUGGGCGUAAAGGGCGCGUAGGCGGUCUUGUCAGUCCCUUGUGAAAUCCCCCGGCUCAACUGGGGAACUGCACGGGAAACAGCAGGGCUUGAGUUCGGGAGAGGGAAGCGGAAUUCCGGGUGUAGCGGUGAAAUGCGCAGAUAUCAGGAGGAACACCGGUGGCGAAGGCGGGUCUCUGGGCCGUAACUGACGCUGAGGAGCGAAAGCAUGGGGAGCGAACAGG
rnacentral:rRNA from 1 species